rnacentral:rRNA from 1 species
GACGAACGCUGGCGGCGUGCUUAACACAUGCAAGUCGAACGGAAAGGCCCUUCUGGUGGUGGUUGCUCGGGUAGCGAACGGGUGAGUAACACGUGAGUAACCUUCCCUUGACUGUGGGAUAACGUCAGGAAACUGGGGCUAAUACCAGAUAUGAUCUCCGGCUGGAGGGUGUGGGUUGGAAAGGUUCGGCGGUUGGGGAUGGACUGGCGGCUUAUUUGUUUGUUGGUGGGGGAGUGACUUACCAAGGGUUUGGGGGGUAGCCGGCCUGAGAGGGUGACCGGCACCAUUGGGCCUGGAUACCGGCCAGACCCCCACCGGGAGGAAGAAGUGGGGAAUUUUGAACAAUGGCGGGAAGCCUGAUGAAGAACCGCCGCGUGCGGGAUGCGGGCUUUGGGGUUGUAACCGGCUUUCGCAUGUGACGAACUGUGAGUGACGGUAAUGGGUAAAGAAGCACCGGCUAACUACGUG